AUUGAACGCUGGCGGAAUGCUUUACACAUGCAAGUCGAACGGUAACAGGGACUUCGGUCCGCUGACGAGUGGCGAACGGGCGAGUAAUACAUCGGAACGUACCCAGGUGUGGGGGAUAACUACGCGAAAGCGUAGCUAAUACCGCAUACGACCUGAGGGUGAAAGCGGGGGACCGUAAGGCCUCGGGCAGUUGGAGCGGCCGAUGUUCGAUUAGCUAGUUGGUGAGGUAAAGGCUCACCAAGGCGACGAUCGAUAGCUGGUCUGAGAGGAUGAUCAGCCACACUGGGACUGAGACACGGCCCAGACUCCUACGGGAGGCAGCAGUGGGGAAUUUUGGACAAUGGGCGAAAGCCUGAUCCAGCCAUUCCGCGUGAGUGAAGAAGGCCUUCGGGUUGUAAAGCUCUUUCGGGUAGAAAGAAAUCGCAUGGGCCAAUACCCUGUGCGGAUGACGGUACUACCAUAAGAAGCACCGGCUAACUACGUGCCAGCCGCCGCGGUAA
rnacentral:rRNA from 1 species